UACGUAGGGUGCAAGCGUUGUCCGGAAUUAUUGGGCGUAAAGAGCUCGUAGGCGGUUUGUCGCGUCUGCUGUGAAAAUCCAGGGCUUAACCCUGGACCUGCAGUGGGUACGGGCAGACUGGAGUGCGGUAGGGGAGAUCGGAAUUCCUGGUGUAGCGGUGAAAUGCGCAGAUAUCAGGAGGAACACCGGUGGCGAAGGCGGAUCUCUGGGCCGUAACUGACGCUGAGGAGCGAAAGCGUGGGGAGCGAACAGG
rnacentral:rRNA from 1 species